GGUAACACUACAACACCGUUUAAAAGCCUCACAUUAUAAGUAAAAAAUAAAAAUUAACCGGUUAAACUUAAAUGUACACCACGAUAGAGACAGAGAGAGGCGAUGAGUACACGGAGACAGAAGCAAAGAAAGAGAGAGGCGAUGAAAUCAAAAGCCUUGGCAGAACGGUAAAAGGCACGGAGUGGGGACUGGGGAGAGAGUAAAUCUGCCACCAUCAUCCGUUUUUCUUCUCGCUGCCACUCUCUAAUACGCAAACCCAAAUCGUGAGAUAGAGUUCGUAAGAGGGAUAAUCGUUUCGGUACAAAUCAAAAGAAAAAAGACUGGGAUAGAGAGAGGGAGUUCACUAAGCCGUAUGCCCGCAAAAGUCCGAUCUUCCACCACCAUCAGACUCCUGUAACUCCACAGAUGAUGGUAACUUGGUAAAGAAGUGGACUACUAAAGAAAGUCUCUACCCAAUCCGCAAGCUUGAUCAGUCUAAAUUGCAGAACCUAUUCACAAUUAUGGGGUGCUAAUGCUGGAUGGCACAAUGGCAAAACAAUAAGCCACAUGGAGCAAACGGACGGAAGUUUAUAUACUUGAGGGUGGCCGAUGCAAUAAUAGAUUUGCCAUGAAAUGUUCAUAAAAUAAAUGUUCAACCUGUGUUGAUGCAAAGGAUAACUUCCACUCUUUUAAGUUUAUGAAAUUUUAUAUGCAUUACUUUUGUGAUCUAUUGCCUUUAUGAAAUUGUAGAUAUGUUUCUGCAAAUAUUGUGGUUUAAAAUGUGACAAAAUGUAUUGUUUUAAAUGUUGUAAACUAAACAAAAAAUGAGAAACCUUUAAAUAUUUGAAUUCUUAUUUUCAAA